AUUGAACGCUGGCGGCAUGCCUAACACAUGCAAGUCGAACGGAAACGAUGGGAGCUUGCUCCCAGGCGUCGAGUGGCGGACGGGUGAGUAAUGCUUAGGAAUCUGCCCAUUAGUGGGGGACAACUCGGGGAAACUCGAGCUAAUACCGCAUACGCCCUACGGGGGAAAGCGGAGGACCUUUCGGGGCUUCGCGCUAAUGGAUGAGCCUAAGUCGGAUUAGCUUGCUGGUGAGGUAAAGGCUCACCAAGGCGACGAUCCGUAGCUGGUCUGAGAGGACGAUCAGCCACACUGGGACUGAGACACGGCCCAGACUCCUACGGGAGGCAGCAGUGGGGAAUAUUGGACAAUGGGGGCAACCCUGAUCCAGCAAUGCCGCGUGUGUGAAGAAGGCCUGCGGGUUGUAAAGCACUUUCAGUAGAGAAGAAAAGCCUAGGGUUAAUACCUCUGGGUC
rnacentral:rRNA from 1 species